rnacentral:rRNA from 1 species
GUGGGGAAUAUUGGACAAUGGGCGAAAGCCUGAUCCAGCAAUGCCGCGUGAGUGAUGAAGGCCCUAGGGUUGUAAAGCUCUUUUACCCGGGAUGAUAAUGACAGUACCGGGAGAAUAAGCUCCGGCUAACUCCGUGCCAGCAGCCGCGGUAAUACGGAGGGAGCUAGCGUUGUUCGGAAUUACUGGGCGUAAAGCGCGCGUAGGCGGUUUUUUAAGUCAGAGGUGAAAGCCCGGGGCUCAACCCCGGAAUUGCCUUUGAAACUGGAAAACUUGAAUCUUGGAGAGGUCAGUGGAAUUCCGAGUGUAGAGGUGAAAUUCGUAGAUAUUCGGAAGAACACCAGUGGCGAAGGCGACUGACUGGACAAGUAUUGACGCUGAGGUGCGAAAGCGUGGGGAGCAAACAGGAUUAGAUACCCCAGUAGUCC